AUAAGCAAGACACAUUCCUCGAAGACUUGCCUUCAAGCAUUGCGGAAUCUUCGAAGUGGAAAAUCGACAAAGCUUUCUAAAUGCCGCCGAGCCCAUCCGAAUCCUCCUAUCGGCCACCUUCUCGAAGUUGUUUCGGCCUAGCUGAAUAGUAUGCUAGGUAAAUAUAAUCCUUAAUAAUUUCAAGAAUGGUCUUUCUCGUAGUCCACAAAUGCUAUACACAGCGGCUGAUUAUACUACAGGUUGUUGAUAAACCUGCCGAA
rnacentral:misc_RNA from 1 species